rnacentral:rRNA from 1 species
UACGUAGGUGGCAAGCGUUGUCCGGAAUUAUUGGGCGUAAAGCGCGCGCAGGUGGUCCUUUAAGUCUGAUGUGAAAUCCCACGGCUCACCCGUGGAACUGCUCGGUAUACUGGCGGUCUUGAGCCACUUAGGGGCUGUCGGAACAGACGGUGGAGCGGUGAAAUGCGUAGAUAUCGUCUGGAACGCCAAUGGUGAAAACAGACAGCUGGGAGUGUGCUGACGCUGAGACACGAAAGCCAGGGGAGCGAACGGG